rnacentral:rRNA from 1 species
ACCAGACUCCUACGGGAGGCAGCAGUGGGGAAUAUUGCACAAUGGGGGAAACCCUGAUGCAGCGACGCCGCGUGAGUGAAGAAGUAUUUCGGUAUGUAAAGCUCUAUCAGCAGGGAAGAAGAAGGACGGUACCUGAGUAAGAAGCCCCGGCUAACUACGUGCCAGCAGCCGCGGUAAUACGUAGGGGGCAAGCGUUAUCCGGAUUUACUGGGUGUAAAGGGAGCGUAGACGGCGAAGAAAGUCUGAAGUGAAAGCCCGGGGCUCAAACGCGGAAUGGCUUUGGAAACUUUUUUGCUGGAGUACCGGAGAGGUAAGCGGAAUUCCUAGUGUAGCGGUGAAAUGCGUAGAUAUUAGGAGGAACACCAGUGGCGAAGGCGGCUUACUGGACGGUAACUGACGUUGAGGCUCGAAAGCGUGGGGAGCAAACAGGAUUAGAUACCCCAGUAA